rnacentral:rRNA from 1 species
AUUGAACGCUGGCGGCAUGCUUUACACAUGCAAGUCGAACGGCAGCGCGGGCUUCGGCCUGGCGGCGAGUGGCGAACGGGUGAGUAAUGCAUCGGAACGUGCCCAGUAGUGGGGGAUAGCCCGGCGAAAGCCGGAUUAAUACCGCAUACGACCUGAGGGUGAAAGCGGGGGACCGAAAGGCCUCGCGCUAUUGGAGCGGCCGAUGUCGGAUUAGCUAGUUGGUGGGGUAAAGGCUUACCAAGGCGACGAUCCGUAGCUGGUCUGAGGGGACGACCAGCCACACUGGGACUGAGACACGGCCCAGACUCCUACGGGAGGCAGCAGUGGGGAAUUUUGGACAAUGGGGGCAACCCUGAUCCAGCCAUGCCGCGUGCGGGAAGAAGGCCUUCGGGUUGUAAACCGCUUUUGUUCGGGAAGAAAUCCUCUGGGCUAAUACCCCGGGGGGAUGACGGUACCGGAAGAAUAAGCACCGGCUAACUACGUG